GAUGAACGCUGGCGGCGUGCCUAAUACAUGCAAGUCGAGCGAACGGACGAGAAGCUUGCGUCUCUGAUGUUAGCGGCGGACGGGUGAGUAACACGUGGAUAACCUACCUAUAAGACUGGGAUAACUUCGGGAAACCGGAGCUAAUACCGGAUGAUAUUUUGAACCGCAUGGUUCAAAAGUGAAAGACGGUCUUGCUGUCACUUAUAGAUGGAUCCGCGCUGCAUUAGCUAGUUGGUAAGGUAACGGCUUACCAAGGCAACGAUGCAUAGCCGACCUGAGAGGGUGAUCGGCCACACUGGAACUGGGACACGGUCCAGACUCCUACGGGAGGCAGCAGUAGGGAAUCUUCCGCAAUGGGCGAAAGCCUGACGGAGCAACGCCGCGUGAGUGAUGAAGGUCUUCGGAUCGUAAAACUCUGUUAUUAGGGAAGAACAUAUGUGUAAGUAACUGUGCACAUCUUGACGGUACCUAAUCAGAAAGCCACGGCUAACUACGUG
rnacentral:rRNA from 1 species